CGGGGCCGCGCGGCGAGGCCUGAUUCCUGCAGCGCGGGCAGGCGGCGUCGCAAAGCGGAGCGAGCUCGAGGCGCCGGGACUCCUGCAGGUGAGAGUGAUUUCCCAGUGAUUGCUUUGGCCCUUACAACCAGAGAACAGGAUUCUUCCCUCCUUUUUGGCCACUAAAUGCCUGCGCACACCACACAUUCCUGCGAGGGAAGAAGGGCGGAGCUUCUUGGAUGAUGAUGGACAUUCCACUGGACAGGAUGAGGGCAGAGAGUGUGACAUCAACACCACAAAGGGAAGUUACCUAAUUGGUGGGGAGGAAAUGACACAGGCUUUGGAACCAGGAGUCCUGGAGUACAAUCAAAUUCUGCUAUUCACUCGUCCAUCA
rnacentral:lncRNA from 1 species